GUAUUAAUAUGUGUUAAUUUCGCGUACGGUUAAUUUGCAUUCGAAGUUUGUUGUUCUUGUAUUUAUUUCUCAAUGUACUAAUGUACAUGUCUUUCAAAUGCAGAGAUGGCUCAGCCUUCGACCCCAGAGCUUUUGGACCCUGCCGUGGACAAAAAGGAUCGCAGCUUCUUAUCCGCCGAGCACCAGACGGACCUAGGAGUGUUUCGCCCACGAGGCCCUGGAGAGCUGCUGACGGUAGACGAGCGCUGGACCCACAGGUUGGGAGCGGCCGGACUCCUACCGCUUUGCCGGUUGGUCGAGGCCCGAACGACGGAGGACCCCGAGGUUGCGACCCGUCGUUUCUACUUCGAUCGGUCGCUGAUAGCAGCACUGGUCGACCGUUGGAGGCCGGAGACACAUACGUUCCACCUACCGUGCGGAGAGAUGACCCCGACCCUGCAGGACGUCUCCUACCUCUUAGGCCUUCCUUGCACGGGAGCUGCGGUUGGGGUGAUCGAUAUGCAGGCUGACUGGAUGAACGACAUGCAUCAGCGAUUUGGGCCGGUGGAGCGAAAGGAGGAUGCACCCCCCGUACGUGCCUGAGUUCUUAGCCGAUGCACGAGGGCCAACGAAGAAGUGGAUCCUACAGUUCCAGCCGACGUACAUCCACCCACAAGCCAACGCAUACGCGGUCUCGAGACAUUUGGAGGCCUACCUCCUUUGGUUGUUUGGGUGGGUGAUGUUCACUAGUGGCCAAGGCCACCUGGUUACGAGGACCCUUGUGCCGUACGCCCGGUCGAUAGCGGACGCGCAUGCAGAGGAUGUACCGUAGUUCAGCUGGGC